GACGAACGCUGGCGGCGUGCCUAAUGCAUGCAAGUCGAGCGGGCUACGAUCUUCGGAUUGUAGCUUAGCGGCGAACGGGUGAGUAACACGUAGGUAAUCUACCCUUCAGAGGAGGACAACCUCAGGAAACUGAGGCUAAACCUUCAUACGUUCACUGGUAGGGAUACUGGUGAAGAAAGAGUUACCUUAGUGGUAGCUGCUGAAGGAUGAGCCUGCGGCCCAUCAGGUAGUUGGUGAGGUAACGGCUCACCAAGCCGAAGACGGGUAACCGGUCUGAGAGGAUGUCCGGUCACACUGGGACUGAGACACGGCCCAGACUCCUACGGGAGGCAGCAGCAGGGAAUCUUGGGCAAUGGGCGAAAGCCUGACCCAGCGACGCCGCGUGCAGGAUGAAGGCCUUCGGGUUGUAAACUGCUUUUGUACGGAACGAAACGGUGAGCUCUAAUAAAGCUUGCUAAUGACGGUACCGUAAGAAUAAGCACCGGCUAACUACGUGCCAGCAGACC
rnacentral:rRNA from 1 species